rnacentral:rRNA from 1 species
UGGGAAUAUUGGACAAUGGGCGAAAGCCUGAUCCAGCCAUGCCGCGUGUGUGAAGAAGGUCUUCGGAUUGUAAAGCAAUUUAAGUUGGGAGGACGGGCUGCAAGUUAAUACCUUGUAGUCUUGUCGUUACCAACAGAAUAAGCACCGGAUAACUUCGUGCCAGCAGCCGCGGUAAUACGAAGGGUGCAAGCGUUAAUCGGAAUUACUGGGCGUAAAGCGCGCGUAGGUGGUUCGUUAAGUUGGAUGUGAAAGCCCCGGGCUCAACCUGGGAACUGCAUCCAAAACUGGCGAGCUAGAGUACGGUAGAGGGUGGUGGAAUUUCCUGUGUAGCGGUGAAAUGCGUAGAUAUAGGAAGGAACACCAGUGGCGAAGGCGACCACCUGGACUGAUACUGACACUGAGGUGCGAAAGCGUGGGGAGCAAACA